rnacentral:rRNA from 1 species
AACGAACGCUGGCGGCAUGCCUAACACAUGCAAGUCGAACGAGACCUUCGGGUCUAGUGGCGCACGGGUGCGUAACGCGUGGGAACCUGCCCUUAGGUUCGGAAUAACUCCCCGAAAGGGGUGCUAAUACCGGAUAAUGUCUUCGGACCAAAGAUUUAUCGCCUUUGGAUGGGCCCGGGUUGGAUUAGCUAGUUGGUAGGGUAAAAGCCUACCAAGGCGACGAUCCAUAGCUGGUCUGAGAGGAUGAUCAGCCACACUGGGACUGAGACACGGCCCAGACUCCUACGGGAGGCAGCAGUGGGGAAUAUUGGAGAAUGGGCGAAAGCCUGAUCCAGCAAUGCCGCGUGAGUGAUGAAGGCCUUAGGGUUGUAAAGCUCUUUUACCCGGGAUGAUAAUGACAGUACCGGGAGAAUAAGCUCCGGCUAACUCCGUG